ensembl:lncRNA
GCUGAGACGCAGCGGAGCGGAGGUGGAGUGCCUGGAUUAAAACAGGACAUAUUAGCAGCAUUUAACCUUCAGUUACUCUUUAUGUAGUUAGAUAGGAGUCAUGUUUCUUUUUAGCUGAAAAACAUUACACCCAGUCCAAAGAGGGAGAGAGGAAAGAGGGGAACAUGAGGAGAAAGUACAAGGUCAGGAAGAACCAGGGGUUUAAAUGCACCAAGGAGACAGUCAGAGGGAACUCGGGACAACUGGAGACAUUUAAGGAUGCAGGGACUGACAGAGACAGGGAAGAAGUCUCAUCGUGACGUGUAAAGUUUAUCUUGCCUGGCUGGGCAGCUCUCUGGGUGCUCAGCACCCCCAAAGCUCUGAUCCUAGAAUCGCCCCUGG